GACGAACGCUGGCGGCGUGCUUAACACAUGCAAGUCGAACGGAAAGGCCCUGCUUUUGUGGGGUGCUCGAGUGGCGAACGGGUGAGUAACACGUGAGUAACCUGCCCUUGACUUUGGGAUAACUUCAGGAAACUGGGGCUAAUACCGUAUAGGAGCUCCUGCUGCAUGGUGGGGGUUGGAAAGUUUCGGCGGUUGGGGUUGGACUCGCGGCUUAUCAGCUUGUUGGUGGGGUAGUGGCUUACCAAGGCUUUGACGGGUAGCCGGCCUGAGAGGGUGACCGGCCACAUUGGGACUGAGAUACGGCCCAGACUCCUACGGGAGGCAGCAGUGGGGAAUAUUGCACAAUGGGCGGAAGCCUGAUGCAGCAACGCCGCGUGCGGGAUGACGGCCUUCGGGUUGUAAACCGCUUUCGCCUGUGACGAAGCGUGAGUGACGGUAAUGGGUAAAGAAGCACCGGCUAACUACGUG
rnacentral:rRNA from 1 species